rnacentral:rRNA from 1 species
UAAGCAUAUCAAUAAGCGGAGGAAAAGAAACCAACAGGGAUUGCCCUAGUAACGGCGAGUGAAGCGGCAACAGCUCAAAUUUGAAAUCUGGCUCUUUUAGAGUCCGAGUUGUAAUUUGCAGAGGGCGCUUUGGCUUUGGCAGCGGUCCAAGUUCCUUGGAACAGGACGUCACAGAGGGUGAGAAUCCCGUACGUGGUCGCUAGCUAUUGCCGUGUAAAGCCCCUUCGACGAGUCGAGUUGUUUGGGAAUGCAGCUCUAAAUGGGAGGUAAAUUUCUUCUAAAGCUAAAUAUUGGCCAGAGACCGAUAGCGCACAAGUAGAGUGAUCGAAAGAUGAAAAGCACUUUGGAAAGAGAGUCAAACAGCACGUGAAAUUGUUGAAAGGGAAGCGCUUGCAGCCAGACUUGCUUGCAGUUGCUCAUCCGGGCUUUUGCCCGGUGCACUCUUCUGCAGGCAGGCCAGCAUCAGUUUGGGCGGUGGGAUAAAGGUCUCUGUCACGUACCUCCUUUCGGGGAGGCCUUAUAGGGGAGGCGACAUACCACCAGCCUGGACUGAGGUCCGCGCAUUCGCUAGGAUGCUGGCGUAAUGGCUGUAAGCGGCCCGUCUUGAAACACGGACCAAGGAGUCUAACAUCUAUGCGAGUGUUUGGGUGUCAAGCCCGAACGCGUAAUGAAAGUGAACGGAGGUGGGAACCCGCAAGGGUGCACCAUCGACCGAUCCUGAUGUCUUCGGAAGGAUUUGAGUAAGAGCAUGGCUGUUGGGACCCGAAAGAUGGUGAACUAUGCUUGAAUAGGGUGAAGCCAGAGGAAACUCUGGUGGAGGCUCGCAGCGGUUCUGACGUGCAAAUCGAUCGUCAAAUUUGGGCAUAGGGGCGAAAGACUAAUCGA